rfam:Firmicutes bacterium CAG:102 genomic scaffold, scf47
UGAGUAGGUUGGACAGUCGCGCUCGUAGGAGUGAGGAAAGUCCGGGCUUCGCAGAGCAGGGUGCCGGCUAACGGCCGGUGGAGGCGACUCCAAGGAUAGUGCAACAGAAAUAGACCGCCGAAUGCGUUUCGGUAAGGAUGGAAAGGUGGGGUAAGAGCCCACCGCUGCGGCGGUAACGUCGCGGGCCCCUGUAAACCCCACCCGAAGCAAGACAAACAGAGACCAUGGGGCUGCUCGUUCCGUCUCGAAAAAGUCGCACGAUGCCGUUGGCAACAACGGACCAAGAUAGAUGGCUGUCUGAAAAACAGAACCCGGCUUACAGGCCUGCUCGCGUU